rnacentral:lncRNA from 1 species
AAAUGAAAUAAGAUUGAAUAAAAUCAGCAUGUACACAACCAGGUUCGAACUCACGCGUGCACGGUCAAAUGAGCGCUCAAAAAUUAAAUUCAGAAAACAUGCUAUGCGCCAGGAUCGAUCACACGUGCGCAAUGUUAAGAAGAAAACUCAAAAUAAAAUCAGAAAUAAUGCACUGCCAAGGACUCGAACGCGCGCAUCUAAGGUUCAUGAGCGCCUGAAUCAAAACGCAACGUUUUG